rnacentral:piRNA from 1 species
UAGGUGCUUUAACUGGGUAACUCGUUGG